rnacentral:tRNA from 1 species
UCUUAAAAGGUGUAAAUGCAUAGAAGAUUUUGAUUCUUCAGGAGAUUAAGUCUUUAAGAA